UUUCUUUGGGGGGUGAUGACAGCAUCCUGGAACUAGAUAGAGGUGACAGCUGCACAUCAUUGUGAAGGUACUAAAUGCCACUAACUUGUAUAUGUAUAAUGG